rnacentral:lncRNA from 1 species
UCUGUUGUCUUAUCCUUUGUGUUGCCCCUACGUUUUAAUUUAAGGAUAACAAUCAAAUUGCAGGUAGUUUCCUGGAGAUUAAUGAUGAAGCGGGAGGCAUCCAUGUCCCUGGAACGAAUAUCUAAUCAUCAAUCCUACAGAAAUGUAAGAUACGGACGUCAUUAUCACCACCGUCGAAUGGCAAUUCUUUUUUCUUUCAAAAUUGAGCAUGCCACUGGAGAGUUGUUCCUGGGGGGAUCUGAAAUGGAGAUCCGUAAAACAAUAGGAUCUUCAAACCUGGUAAACUCACCAUCUUCUAUUAUAGGUGCAAUAUUGUAAACAACGGCAUUUGAAAUCUAAAACAGAGAUUUAUUUUCCACCAGUGUUUAUUUAUUCUGAGCAAAAUGGACUUCCUUCAAGCAACAUGUCAUCGUGUAUUAUACUCUGGCAAGCCAGAGUUUUAAUUUCAUU